rnacentral:rRNA from 1 species
AUUGUUCGCAAUGGGCGCAAGCCUGACGACGCAACGCCGCGUGGAGGAUGAAGAUCUUCGGGUCGUAAACUCCUUUCGAUCGAGACGAAUUCCUCCGGGGUGAACAAUCCCGGAGGUUGACGGUACCGGGUGAGGAAGCACCGGCUAACUCCGUGCCAGCAGCCGCGGUAAUACGGGGGGUGCGAGCGUUGUCCGGAAUCACUGGGCGUAAAGGGCGCGUAGGUGGCCACCAUAAGGCCGCGGUGAAAGUCUGGGGCUCAACUCCAGAUCGGCCGCGGCGACUGUGGGGCUUGGGCACUGUAGAGGCAGAUGGAAUUCCGGGUGUAGCGGUGGAAUGCGUAGAGAUCCGGAAGAACACCGGUGGCGAAGGCGGUCUGCUGGGCAGUGAGCUCGCAAGGGCUCAAUAGCCGACACUGAGGCGCGACAGCGUGGGGAGCAAAC